rnacentral:tRNA from 1 species
GGGGGUAUAGCUCAGUGAUCGAUCAUUUGACUGCAGAUCGGGUGGUCCCCGGUUCAAACCCGGGUGCUCCCA